AGCUUGCUAUCAGGCGUCGAGCGGCGGACGGGUGAGUAAUACUUAGGAAUCUACCUAGUAGUGGGGGAUAGCUCGGGGAAACUCGAAUUAAUACCGCAUACGACCUACGGGAGAAAGGGGGCAACUUGUUGCUCUCGCUAUUAGAUGAGCCUAAGUCGGAUUAGCUAGAUGGUGGGGUAAAGGCCUACCAUGGCGACGAUCUGUAGCUGGUCUGAGAGGAUGAUCAGCCACACCGGGACUGAGACACGGCCCGGACUCCUACGGGAGGCAGCAGUGGGGAAUAUUGGACAAUGGGGGAAACCCUGAUCCAGCCAUGCCGCGUGUGUGAAGAAGGCCUUUUGGUUGUAAAGCACUUUAAGCAGUGAAGAAGACUCCGUGGUUAAUACCCACGGACGAUGACAUUAGCUGCAGAAUAAGCACCGGCUAACUCUGUGCCAGCAGCCGCGGUAAUACAGAGGGUGCAAGCGUUAAUCGGAAUUACUGGGCGUAAAGCGAGCGUA
rnacentral:rRNA from 1 species